rnacentral:rRNA from 1 species
GUUGGGAAUCUUGCGCAAUGGGCGAAAGCCUGACGCAGCGACGCCGCGUGUGGGAUGACGGCCUUCGGGUUGUAAACCACUGUACUGGGGGACGACUCUCGACGGUACCCCAGGAGCAAGCCCCGGCUAACUCCGUGCCAGCAGCCGCGGUAAGACGGAGGGGGCGAGCGUUGUCCGGAAUUACUGGGCGUAAAGGGCGCGUAGGCGGUCGCGUACGGCGGGGGUGAAAGCCCCCGGCUCAACUGGGGGAGGUCCCCCGCAACGGCGCGACUGGAGGACGGUAGAGGCCAACGGAAUUCCUGGUGUAGCGGUGAAAUGCGUAGAGAUCAGGAGGAACACCCGUGGCGAAGGCGGUUGGCUGGGCCGUGCCUGACGCUGAGGCGCGAAAGCCAGGGGAGUGAACGGGAUUAGAUACCCCAGUAGUCC